rnacentral:lncRNA from 1 species
AGCAGAGCGCAAUACAUAGUUCAUACCAUCUUCUGCAUUUUCAUACCAUAUCACAAUUAAGCUGCAUGAGUACAGAAGUUUGUAAAACAGUAAAGAGUCAUCCCUAAGUCUAUGAAAAUACUCACUUUUUUGUUGCUAUGAAAAUACAUAUUGUUAUAUGACCAAGAUGACAAGUUGGUAGUCGAUAUUUCAAAUGACCUCAGGACACAUCAUAUAGUAACAAGUUGGUUACAAGACAAUGCUACCAUUAAAUGGAGUUCAAAUAGAAACAACAAAAGGAUGUGGAUGGAGAAGGCACAUUACAGACAAAACUAGAUACAACUGCAGUUACAAUAUUCCUAGAGGUCACUGACAAAACAUUACAACCAGAAGGUAAAGGUAACAUAUUGAAAUGUAAUCUUCAAAUCCUAUCAUCUACCCUCUUCUUUUCUGGUACUGUGAAUAUGCAAGUCACAGAAAAAUAAGGGUAAAAAUACCAUCCAUAAGAGAAGCCGCUACCCACUGCAUUUCUCCAACGAACUGCAGGUAAGAUGAUGACAAAGGUUGUUGAUCUUAGCUAGGCACGCAUCUCUUGACAUGUUGCAGAACAUAUUUAGUACCUGAAUUCUACCAAGUGGUUGUCAAAAAUCAGAAAAGAUCUUAAGCAAUAGCUUCACUAUUCUGAAAUGGAAGUAUCUCCUGGACUUUGUGAGCUCUGACCCUCUUUACCCUGCAAUUGAAGAAAUAUGAUUUAUUCCUGAAGAUUAUUAAAACUUACAAACAGUAACGCCUGAUCAACUCAG